rnacentral:rRNA from 1 species
AUCGAACGCUGGCGGCAUGCCUAACACAUGCAAGUCGGGCGAGCGGCGGACGGGUGAGUAAUGUAUGGUGAUCUUCCCGAUGGAGGGGGAUAACUACUGGAAACGGUAGCUAAUUCCGCCUACCCUCAGUUUAACCCAUAUGGGAUUAGCGAGUAGGUGGGGUAACGGCUCACAUAGGCGAGGAUCCCUGGCUGGUCUGAGAGGAUGACUGGCAAAACUGGACUGGGGAACCGCUCCGGAUUCCAACGGGGGGCAGCAGUGGGGAAUAUUGGACAAUGGGGGAAAGCAUGAGGCAGACAUGCGGGGUGGAUGAAGAAGGCCUUCGGGUUGUAAAGUUCGUUCGGUGGCGAGGCGUUACCUACAGAAGAAGCACCGGCUAACUACGUGCCAGCAGCCGCGGUAAUAC